ACUCCUGCGGGAGGCAGCAGUGGGGAAUUUUGGACAAUGGGCGAAAGCCUGAUCCAGCAAUGCCGCGUGUGUGAAGAAGGCCUUCGGGUUGUAAAGCACUUUUGUCCGGAAAGAAAUCCUUGGCUCUAAUACAGUCGGGGGAUGACGGUACCGGAAGAAUAAGCACCGGCUAACUACGUGCCAGCAGCCGCGGUAAUACGUAGGGUGCGAGCGUUAAUCGGAAUUACUGGGCGUAAAGCGUGCGCAGGCGGUUUGCUAAGACCGAUGUGAAAUCCCCGGGCUCAACCUGGGAACUGCAUUGGUGACUGGCAGGCUAGAGUAUGGCAGAGGGGGGUAGAAUUCCACGUGUAGCAGUGAAAUGCGUAGAGAUGUGGAGGAAUACCGAUGGCGAAGGCAGCCCCCUGGGCCAAUACUGACGCUCAUGCACGAAAGCGUGGGGAGCAAACAGGAUUAGAAACCCCGGUAGUCCCAUGA
rnacentral:rRNA from 1 species